GGGGAAAAUAAUAAAUAUGUAUUAGAGCUCAUGUAAUAUGUAACAGUGCACACUUUUGAGGGAAGCUAUUCCCAGUGCGCCUGGUGCACCGCAAUAAAGUGUACCUACUUUACAA